rnacentral:rRNA from 1 species
GAUGAACGCUGGCGGCGUGCCUAAUACAUGCAAGUCGAGCGAACGGACGAGAAGCUUGCUUCUCUGAUGUUAGCGGCGGACGGGUGAGUAACACGUGGAUAACCUACCUAUAAGACUGGGAUAACUUCGGGAAACCGGAGCUAAUACCGGAUAAUAUUUUGAACCGCAUGGUUCAAAAGUGAAAGACGGUCUUGCUGUCACUUAUAGAUGGAUCCGCGCUGCAUUAGCUAGUUGGUAAGGUAACGGCUUACCAAGGCAACGAUGCAUAGCCGACCUGAGAGGGUGAACGGACAAACGGGAAGAGAGACAGGGAAAAGAGGACUAAGGGAGGAAGCAGUAGGGAAGAUGCCGCAAUGGGCGAAAGAAUGACGGAGCAAAGACGAGUGAGAGAAGAAGGAGUAAGGAGCGUAAAAAGAGGUAAUGAGGGAAGAAAAAAAGUGAAAGUAAAUGAGAACAUAGUGACGGGAACUAAAAAGAAAGAAACGGCUAAAUACGUG